GCGGAUGUAGCCAAGUGGAUUAAGGCGGUGGAUUGUGAAUCCACCAUGCGCGA
rnacentral:tRNA from 1 species